rnacentral:piRNA from 1 species
UCCAGGUCGGGUCUUGAAGGAUGGUC